GACCGUUCCGGUGGCCUGGUGGUUAGAGUGUCCGUCUGGGAUGCGGGAGGUCGCAGGUUCGAAUCCCGGUCGAGUCA